AACGGUGGCUAAUACCGCAUAACGUCGCAAGACCAAAGAGGGGGACCUUCGGGCCUCUUGCCAUCAGAUGUGCCCAGAUGGGAUUAGCUAGUUGGUGAGGUAACGGCUCACCAAGGCGACGAUCCCUAGCUGGUCUGAGAGGAUGACCAGCCACACUGGAACUGAGACACGGUCCAGACUCCUACGGGAGGCAGCAGUGGGGAAUAUUGCACAAUGGGCGCAAGCCUGAUGCAGCCAUGCCGCGUGUAUGAAGAAGGCCUUCGGGUUGUAAAGUACUU
rnacentral:rRNA from 1 species